rnacentral:rRNA from 1 species
CGCACGGGUGAGUAACACGUAGCUAAUCUACCUCAAAGCGCGGGAAACCGACGACAAUACCGCAUAAGCUCGAGAGAGGAAAGCAGCAAUGCGCUGGAAGAGGAGUCCGCGGCUGAUUAGCUAGUUGGUGAGGUAAUGGCUCACCAAGGCUUAGAUCAGUAGCCGGCCUGAGAGGGCACACGGCCACACUGGCACUGAAACACGGGCCAG